CCCUUAGAUGUUCUGGGCUGCACGCGCGCUACACUGAAGCUAUCAACACGUUUUCCCUCCCUGAGAAGGGCGGGUAACCUUUUGAAUCAGCUUCGUGGUAGGGAUCGGGGCUUGCAAUUGUUCCCCGUGAACCAGGAAUUCCUAGUAGACGCGAGUCAUAAGCUCGCAUCGAUUAAGUCCCUGCCUUUUGUACACACCGCCCGUCGCUACCACCGAUUGAACGUUUUAGUGAGGCAUUUGGACCGACGCAUCUCAGUUUAACCGCUGGUUUGUGUUGGAAAGACUUCCAAACUUGAGCGUUUAGAGGAAGUAAAAGUCGUAACA
rnacentral:rRNA from 1 species